CAUAUGCAGAAUGCCACAUAAAUGUCCCAUUUUUGAUAGCUCUCAUUUUGUUUAUUUGCAAUAAAUACCGAUGGAAAGUAAUAAAAAUCUAUUGUUUUUAAAAAGAAAACAAUAUUUUCGAAAAAACUAGUCCAAAACAUUAUAUUUUAACCGACAGAUGGUCUGGCUGUCUUCGGAUUUAGAUGUGGAAAUUCGGCUUUCUUGAACGGUUAUGAAAUUAUAAUGAAGAAAGAUGGAAGGAAAUGGCCUCUUUAGGAACUCAAGAGUUAAAACUAUUAAAUUGUGACGACUGCUUAUACAUGGCUACUAAAUAACAGGAUUUUAAUAGCUGAUGGACAUUGGACACUGGAUGAUGCUGUAGCAUUAUUGGUUUGGUAUUUACAUAUGCAACAAAAUACCACAAUGUGUGCUUCUACUUUGAAG